CUAUACACCGGUUUGAAUCACAACGGAUGUUGCGUGACGUCAUGCGAAAAAGGUAUAUUCUCUGAAGUACACUUUAAAACACAGUGACAGAGCAGGAGAGCGCACGCGACAAUAUAGCAUUGCAGAUGUAGGAGAUGAGAGAGAGUCCAGCACAAAAGCAAAGCUUACCCCUGUGCAGGCUUUUCUUUAAGCUACUUUUUUUUUGCAAGGGAUUUUUUUUUUGGGGGGGGGCGUCGCAAAAUAUUAAAGCUAGGCGCCAUCUGGAUCCCUGUAAACAUCCAGGCUCUUUCCCACUUCACGUCACGUGCACAAGGACAGAGCUUUAGGUCAUGACGUAACGCAAACCUGUUCCGAAGUUCCGUGCACGCGCCGCUUCCUACAAACGUCCUAUUGGUUGAGCAUCCUCCAUAUUUGCCAUUCAGACACGCCCACAAGCGCGCGCUCCCGACAGCGGCUUGGGCGAAAAGAGGGGAACUUUUCAGUGGGCUGCGGUUGCACUUGCGUGCGCGUGUGCUUCUAUGUGAGCCGCUUAACGUUAUUGAUUCCCAGCGGUCAUUUUAUAGUAAUAGAAAAUCAGCAAGACGAAUAAACAACACGCUCUGUGAGAAUAUGCCACCACGGUCAGGUGCAAUUUCUGUCCUCGUGACGUCUCAGUGGCGUCUCAUUAACUUCACAUUGCAUCUCAUAACCAGCUGUGAGUAAAGGCCCAGGGUGCCUAGGAGGGACACAGCUCAGGAAAAAUGGUUGUGUUGGAUCAAGAGAUCAUGGGAAUGCAUCUUGGAUAGGCCACACUCAGUCACACCUAGGGGCAAUUUAGCAUCCAUGGAAUGUUUCUGGAUGGUGGAAGGAAACUGGAGAACCUGGAGGAAACCCACAUGAACACUGAACCUGCAAGCAUUUCCACAGAACGACAAUAAACCGAUCUCAAAUUCGACCCACUGCACCACCAUUCCACCAGCGUGUCAUUUUAAACCGUUAAAAUAAUCUAUGGUGAAUAAUAUUACAGGCUGUCUCAAAAGUCUACAUGCAUAGGGGAUUAUUUGCUGUAUGCAAGCACCAUGUCUGUUGUACCUUCUUGGUUGGUCUGCAACACUUCCAGUCUUUUUGAAUUUGUUAAUAAGUUUGGCAACAGUGUUGUGUGUGUGUGUGUGUGUGUGUGUGUGUGUGUGUGUGUGUGUGUGUGUGAUGUGCUUGCCAUGCUUCCUGUUAAAGUCCAUCGCAACCUUGCGAGAGCUUCACGAUCCAGCAAUGAGAAUGAUUUCAAUAUGUUCUUCUUUUGUCAAAAGCAUUCUUAAAGGCUAUCUGGAAAAGAAAUAUUUUAUAUAUAUAUAUAUUAGUAUGAAAGAUUUUUGAAGAUAUUUAGCUACAAAGUGUUAAUUUCCCCAAUGUAUGGUGACUUUUUUUGACAUCAUGUAUUGUGUUAAAUCUAAGAAAGUACUCCAAUGGCUUGUGUACAUUUUACCCCUUUACCCCCAUACAGAAUGCAAUAAUCUAUAUUAAACUAUGUAAAUUGUUAUGCAAAUUGGGUAGAAUAUGAAAAUUGCAAAUGCAACCAAGCAGCUUUUAUAUUAAUAUUUCUAGAACUUUCAGCCAAUUUCCAGCACACCUGUACUAGCUAGUCAGUGUUCUUGAUUGUUUAGUGCAUUGGGAGCUGGAGAUAGAUCCAAGAUGCCAGUGGACACCUUUGGACUUAUAAGAAUGCAAGAUUCCAAACUGGAUAAAUAUGACCUUGUAUGUCUGAAUCUCAGACUGACAAGAGAGGAGACAAUUGUUCCUUAUUUAUGGUUAUUUGAUAUGUACUCCCCAUCCCUUUGCACACAGUGGAGCAUUUUGGAUGUAAACAUAAGUUUGUGCUCGUGCAUCACUGUCGUGCUGCUGUCCUACACAAGCUCUGCUUUGUAAAGUUUGCAGGUCUUCUUCACAACAUUUAAUAUAAAAUGCUUAAUGGAAAAAAGCGUGCGACCAAAGUCCUGUCACUUGAUGAUUUCGCCUCCGUCUUAUGGUGAUUGAGGUCAUGCUAUGUAUAAAAGGUAACGCUGAAAUAAACAGUAAACGGAAGAAAUGCAUUUUUGUUGACUCUGGGUGUUCUGCUAAAGCUAGCGGCAUCGCAUUUCAUGCAUUUGACGUCAUGUGCUAUCGAUGGGGAAACGGCUUAUAUGUCCAGUUAGUAAAAAACGCUAGUGUUCCAUUUGAGAUGAUACUACCCGUCUAAACUUCAUACAUUAGAUGGUAGAGUAUAUAAUGCAUAGUGUAAGUGUAUAGAAUGUCAUUUGGAGCACAACUUUAGUAUUUACUCUUCAGUGCGUGUUUUUGGAACAGAAGUAACACAGUAAGUAAAUGUAUCCCAUACCGUGCGUAGACCAAAUUAUAGAUAAUGAGAUUUGUUGUUGACUAUUUUCAUAAUGAAUUAUUAUCGAUUUUAUCAAUUAGUUGUUACAGCUCUAGUAUUCACCCUCCUGGGUCAAUACUUUGCAGGGCCACCAUUGGCUGCAAUAACAGCUGUAAAUCUUCUGGGAUAUGGAUCCUGAUAUUUUUGCCCAUUUUUCUUUGUGAAAUUGCUCAAGCUCCAUCAUUGUGGAUGGAGAUUGGUAGCAAACAGCAAUUUUCAGUUUUGUCAAAUAUUCUGAUUCAGAUUCAAGGCUUUGACUUAGCCUUGGCCAUUCGAAUUUGUUCAGGUUCUUUGUUUUGAACACGACUUCUAUGUUGUUUUGUAUUUCCCGCACUUCAGUAUUAUGGACUAUUUUGAGUAGAUUCACAAUAUAUAAACCAGAUUAAGUCCAAUUUAGUUUCAACUACACUACAACACUAUAAAAU
ensembl:lncRNA